UACGGAGGGUGCAAGCGUUAUCCGGAAUGAUUGGGCGUAAAGCGCCCGCAGGUGGCUAUGUAAGUCUGCUGUUAAAGAGUGAGGCUCAACCUCAUAAGAGCAGUGGAAACUACAUGGCUAGAGUGCGUUCGGGGCAGAGGGAAUUCCUGGUGUAGCGGUGAAAUGCGUAGAGAUCAGGAAGAGCACCGGUGGCGAAAGCGCUCUGCUAGGCCGCAACUGACACUGAGGGACGAAAGCUAGGGGAGCGAAUGGG
rnacentral:rRNA from 1 species